UUCAGAAAUUGAAAGAUUUCAAAAUUGGUUGAAAGGUUAAAUUAAGUAACAGGUAUGGUUGAGGGAUUAUUUAUAGUUCUAAUUAUAAUUAUUUCUUUUGAAUAGAGUUGUUAUCAGAUUCAGAGAUUGAAGAAGAUGUUUUUUCUUCGCAUUUUAUUGAUGAACACAUUAAAACCAAGCAAGUUCACAUUGUCAAAGAUUUUCAAGUUUUAAUAGAUGCAAAAUGUUAUUCUUAAGGAGCUUGCAGAAAUAAAAGUUCUUUUUAAAGAAGUUAUAGAAAUUAAGUUUCAGGCUACUGGGGUGAAGUUGCUAGAAUCUGUGGACGAAGUGGUUACACUGGCUAAUAAACUAAAAGAUAAAACCGAGUAUACUAAUUUGCUUGAUAGUUUGAAAACGAUUGGUGGUGGAAAGCCAAGAGAACAUGUUUUUUUGAUCAUGAAAAGGUAAAUGAUUAUGUUUUUAUUAAUUAUUAGAAAUAUGAUUAAAAGGGACCAAAAGAAAUUCAUUUUGACCAUUAUUUGUUAUGGAUUUACUUUUAACAUGAAAAUUUGAUAAACUUGGCAGCUUCACUGUAGGUGUUUAAGUUUGUUUGUGCGCUAAAGUAAGUGUAAUGCUAAACAAGGUUUAGCAUUUUAUUUUCAAA